GCGGUUUGAACCACUACGACAAUGCUUAAAACACUUCUUCUGACGACUGUGGCGUUUGUUGCGUAUUGUGAGGCCGGUGUACGGUACAUUGAAAGACCAGUUGGUUCGUCCAGGAUCAUAAAUGGUGUUGAGGCAACAUCGGGAGAAUUUCCACACAGGUGUCUCUACUUCAGGUUGUUUCAGGACAAGGCUAUCACAUAUGUGGGGGAUCGGUAAUUGCUGAUGGAUGGGUACUUACCGCUAGUCAUUGUGUAGAUGGACAAAAUGUUACCAUCGAUUCAUUUUGUACUUGGAUCUAAACUUCAAACAUGAAAAAAGGCACCACCCUAGAGGUUCUAGUAGACACGCCGCUAACCUAGCCUUAGUAGUAGAUAUGCACGACUUCGGAAAUCCUGGAAACAACAUUUGGUUCAACAUUGACCAAGUCAUUAUGCACGAACAGUACAAUAGCGGACAAGGAACAUAUCCAAAUGACAUUGCUCUGUUAAAACUCCAACCAAAUGGGAAAGAUAGCACGAAUAACAAGAUUAAACUGGCUUCUGGUUUUGAAGAUUACGCUGGAAUGACUUGUACCAUCAGUGGUUGGGGAACCUUAGUGGAUGGAAGGUCAGCUACAAUACUGAAUAAAGCGGACGUACUAGUGUUAAGUAGGUCGGAAUGCACUGUAAAGAACUAGUGGAGUAGCACCCAGGUCCUGGAUAAACAUGGAUGUGUCAAAGGUUAUGAUGGCGUCAAUGGUGCCGCAGCAUGUAAUGGAGACAGUGGUGGUCUAUGAUGUGCAAUGAUGUUUUAGUUGGAGCCACUUCUUGGGGACUUAGUGGCUGCCAUACCGACGGUACAGUUACCAAACCAAAUGUGUACGCCCGAAUUUCGUACUUCUAUAACUGGAUCAACUCCAGGUGUUCAAACUGUGCUGUGUAAUAUUAACAUGCAGAUUCACUGAACUCUGUAUAAUCAGAAAUAAAAAUUAAGACUUA